rnacentral:rRNA from 1 species
UACGGGGGGAGCAAGCGUUGUUCGGAUUUACUGGGCGUAAAGGGCGCGUAGGCGGUCGUGACAAGUCACUUGUGAAAUCUCCGGGCUUAACUCGGAACGGUCAAGUGAUACUGUCGGACUAGAGUACAGAAGGGGCAACUGGAAUUCUCGGUGUAGCGGUGGAAAUGCGUAGAUAUCGAGAGGAACACCUGCGGCGAAGGCGGGUCUCUGGGCCGAUACUGACGCUGAGGAGCGAAAGCGUGGGGAGCGAACAGGAUUAGACUACCGA